AACGACUCUCGGCAACGGAUAUCUCGGCUCUCGCAUCGAUGAAGAACGUAGCGAAAUGCGAUACUUGGUGUGAAUUGCAGAAUCCCGUGAACCAUCGAGUCUUUGAACGCAAGUUGCGCCCAAAGCCUUCCGGCCGAGGGCACGUCUGCCUGGGCGUCACGCUU
rnacentral:rRNA from 1 species